rnacentral:rRNA from 1 species
CCUACGGGAGGCAGCAGUGGGGGAUAUUGCACAAUGGGGGAAACCCUGAUGCAGCGACGCCGCGUGUGGGAAGACGGUCCUCUGGAUUGUAAACCACUGUCCCCAGGGAGGAAGAUGACGGUACCUGGGGAGGAAGCUCCGGCUAACUACGUGCCAGCAGCCGCGGUAAUACGUAGGGAGCGAGGGUUGUCCGGAUUUACUGGGUGAAACGGGAGCGGAGGCGGGACUGCAAGUUGGGUGUCAAAUCUACCGGUGAAACCGGUAGCCGCACGCAAAACUGCAGUUCUUGAGUGAAGUAGAGGCAGGCGGAAUGCCUAGUGUAGCGGUGAAAUGCGUAGAUAUUAGGAGGAACACCAGUGGCGAAGGCGGCCUGCUGGGCUUUUACUGACGCUGAGGCUCGAAAGUGUGUGGAGCAAACAGGAUUAGAUACCCGGGUAGUC